rnacentral:rRNA from 1 species
UACGUAGGGGGCUAGCGUUGUCCGGAAUCAUUGGGCGUAAAGAGCGUGUAGGCGGCCCGGUAAGUCCGCUGUGAAAGUCGGGGGCUCAACCCUCGGAUGCCGGUGGAUACUGUCGGGCUAGAGUACGGAAGAGGCGAGUGGAAUUCCUGGUGUAGCGGUGAAAUGCGCAGAUAUCAGGAGGAACACCAAUUGCGAAGGCAGCUCGCUGGGACGUUACUGACGCUGAGACGCGAAAGCGUGGGGGAGCAAACAGG